rnacentral:rRNA from 1 species
UACGAGGGGGGCAAGCGUUGUUCGGAAUUAUUGGGCGUAAAGGGCGCGUAGGCGGUUUGACAAGUCUGAUGUGAAAUCUAUGGGCUCAACCCAUAGCCUGCAUUAGAAACUGUCGGGCUUGAGUAUGGGAGAGGUGAGUGGAAUUUCCGGUGUAGCGGUGAAAUGCGUAGAUAUCGGAAGGAACACCUGUGGCGAAAGCGGCUCA